GCCAGGCGUGGUGGUGUACACCUGUGGUCCCAGCUACUCUGGAGGCUGAGGCAGGAGUAUCACUUGAGCCCAGGAGGCCAAGGCUGCAGUCAGCUGUGGUAGUGCCACUGCACUCCAGCCUGGGCAAUAGAGUGAGAGUCUGUCUCAA
rnacentral:SRP_RNA from 1 species